rnacentral:rRNA from 1 species
CCUACGGGAGGCAGCAGUGAGGAAUAUUGGUCAAUGGACGAGAGUCUGAACCAGCCAAGUAGCGUGAAGGAUGACUGCCCUAUGGGUUGUAAACUUCUUUUAUAUGGGAAUAAAACGUUCCACGAGUGGGAUUUUGUAUGUACCAUAUUAAUAAGGAUCGGCUAACUGCGUGCCAGCAGCCGCGGUAAUACGGAGGAUCCGAGCGUUAUCCGGAUUUAUUGGGUGUAAAGGGAGCGUAGGUGGAUUGUUAAGUCAGUUGUGAAAGUUUGCGGCCCAACCGUAGAAUUGCAGUUGAAACUGGCAGUCUUGAGUACAGUAGAGGUGGGCAGAAUUCGUGGUGUAGCGGUGAAAUGCUUAGAUAUCACGAAGAACUCCGAUUGCGAAGGCAGUUCACUGGACUGCAACUGACACUGAGGCUCGAAAGUGUGGGUAUCAAACAGGAUUAGAUACCCGGGUAGUC